rnacentral:rRNA from 1 species
UGGGGAAUUUUGGACAAUGGGCGCAAGCCUGAUCCAGCCAUGCCGCGUGCGGGAAGAAGGCCUUCGGGUUGUAAACCGCUUUUGUCAGGGAAGAAAUCUUCUGAGUUAAUACCUCGGGAGGAUGACAGUACCUGAAGAAUAAGCACCGGCUAACUACGUGCCAGCAGCCGCGGUAAUACGUAGGGUGCAAGCGUUAAUCGGAAUUACUGGGCGUAAAGCGUGCGCAGGCGGUUUUGUAAGACAGAGGUGAAAUCCCCGGGCUCAACCUGGGAACUGCCUUUGUGACUGCAAGGCUUGAGUGCGGCAGAGGGGGGAUGGAAUUCCGCGUGUAGCAGUGAAAUGCGUAGAUAUGCGGAGG